rnacentral:rRNA from 1 species
UGGGGAAUUUUGGACAAUGGGCGAAAGCCUGAUCCAGCAAUGCCGCGUGUGUGAAGAAGGCCUUCGGGUUGUAAAGCACUUUUGUCCGGAAAGAAAUCCUUGGCUCUAAUACAGUCGGGGGAUGACGGUACCGGAAGAAUAAGCACCGGCUAACUACGUGCCAGCAGCCGCGGUAAUACGUAGGGUGCAAGCGUUAAUCGGAAUUACUGGGCGUAAAGCGUGCGCAGGCGGUUUGCUAAGACCGAUGUGAAAUCCCCGGGCUCAACCUGGGAACUGCAUUGGUGACUGGCAGGCUAGAGUAUGGCAGAGGGGGGUAGAAUUCCACGUGUAGCAGUGAAAUGCGUAGAGAUGUGGAGGAAUACCGAUGGCGAAGGCAGCCCCCUGGGCCAAUACUGACGCUCAUGCACGAAAGCGUGGGGAGCAAACAGGAUUAGAUACCCUGGUAGUCCCACGCCCUAAACGAUGUCAACUAGUUGUUGGGGAUUCAUUUCCUUAGUAACGUAGCUAACGCGUGAAGUUGACCGCCUGGGGGAGUACGGUCGCAAGAUUAAAACUCAAAGGAAUUGACGGGGUCAUAGCUGUUUCCU